rnacentral:rRNA from 1 species
UGGAUGAACGCUGGCGGCGUGCCUAAUACAUGCAAGUCGAGCGAACGGACGAGAAGCUUGCUUCUCUGAUGUUAGCGGCGGACGGGUGAGUAACACGUGGAUAACCUACCUAUAAGACUGGGAUAACUUCGGGAAACCGGAGCUAAUACCGGAUAAUAUUUUGAACCGCAUGGUUCAAAAGUGAAAGACGGUCUUGCUGUCACUUAUAGAUGGAUCCGCGCUGCAUUAGCUAGUUGGUAAGGUAACGGCUUACCAAGGCAACGAUGCAUAGCCGACCUGAGAGGGUGAUCGGCCACACUGGAACUGAGACACGGUCCAGACUCCUACGGGAGGCAGCAGUAGGGAAUCUUCCGCAAUGGGCGAAAGCCUGACGGAGCAACGCCGCGUGAGUGAUGAAGGUCUUCGGAUCGUAAAACUCUGUUAUUAGGGAAGAACAUAUGUGUAAGUAACUGUGCACAUCUUGACGGUACCUAAUCAGAAAGCCACGGCUAACUACGUGCCAGCAGCCGCGGUAGUACGUAGGUGGCAAGCGUUAUCCGGAAUUAUUGGGCGUAAAGCGCGCGUAGGCGGUUUUUUAAGUCUGAUGUGAAAGCCCACGGCUCAACCGUGGAGGGUCAUUGGAAACUGGAAAACUUGAGUGCAGAAGAGGAAAGUGGAAUUCCAUGUGUAGCGGUGAAAUGCGCAGAGAUAUGGAGGAACACCAGUGGCGAAGGCGACUUUCUGGUCUGUAACUGACGCUGAUGUGCGAAAGCGUGGGGAUCAAACAGGAUUAGAUACCCUGGUAGUCCACGCCGUAAACGAUGAGUGCUAAGUGUUAGGGGGUUUCCGCCCCUUAGUGCUGCAGCUAACGCAUUAAGCACUCCGCCUGGGGAGUACGACCGCAAGGUUGAAACUCAAAGGAAUUGACGGGGACUCGCACAAGCGGUGGAGCAUGUGGUUUAAUUCGAAGCAACGCGAAGAACCUUACCAAAUCUUGACAUCCUUUGACAACUCUAGAGAUAGAGCUUUCCCCUUCGGGGGACAAAGUGACAGGUGGUGCAUGGUUGUCGUCAGCUCGUGUCGUGAGAUGUUGGGUUAAGUCCCGCAACGAGCGCAACCCUUAAGCUUAGUUGCCAUCAUUAAGUUGGGCACUCUAAGUUGACUGCCGGUGACAAACCGGAGGAAGGUGGGGAUGACGUCAAAUCAUCAUGCCCCUUAUGAUUUGGGCUACACACGUGCUACAAUGGACAAUACAAAGGGCAGCGAAACCGCGAGGUCAAGCAAAUCCCAUAAAGUUGUUCUCAGUUCGGAUUGUAGUCUGCAACUCGACUACAUGAAGCUGGAAUCGCUAGUAAUCGUAGAUCAGCAUGCUACGGUGAAUACGUUCCCGGGUCUUGUACACACCGCCCGUCACACCACGAGAGUUUGUAACACCCGAAGCCGGUGGAGUAACCUUUUAGGAGCUAGCCGUCGAAGGUGGGACAA